CCGCGAUAAUCCCAUGACACCGCCCAAAAGACUCCCCAACGUGUUGCCCGCAGCAUCCAGAUCAUCAUCAAAAAGC
rnacentral:tRNA from 1 species